GAGUGUGAGAGCGAGAACAGCCCCGCAGGUCCCGAGGCGCUGGCUGGGGACACUGCCGCGGAAAGUUCCCAGUCCCCAGCCGCAGAUCUGCAGAGUUGAAAUGAAAUGUUUUGAGCUCUUCAAGCUGACUCGUCAGAAUCCUGGAGCCUUUUAAAAAAUGACGAAUUGGAAGAAAAUAAUUACUUUAUCAAUAACCAGACUCCACCAGGAUUGACCAAGAUGUUUGUUCCUGGCACUUGUCAUUCUCAGCAAGCACAGCACAGAGAGCAAAUACAAAAGGCCCAAAAUGCAAUGCAUCUUUUAUGGGUAAGCAUGAAAUAGGUUUAUCUGUGGUGGUGUAGUCCAACUUGAGAGGUGGGAAGACAAGGCUUUAGAACCAAUGCCACAAACAUUGUGUUAGUUUUUGUUCAUCUGUAGUAAAAAGUGAAUGCUGACUAGAAUUUCUGGGAAGAUUUAUAGCAUAUGCAAUUUUAAGUAUUCAGGUAACUCUUUAGUUACUGUGUUUUAAUCGUUGAAGCCCAUCAGAGAACAAACCAAUCCUUGUUCUUGGGAUUGAAAAUACUAGAUAUCCCAUCAAGCACCAUUAUCUUGAUAUUUAAAGUAGAAAUAUGCUUCUCCAUUUUGUUUAACCUAGUUAAUAUUGGGGUGGCUUCACAUUUCAGUGCCUUUUCAGUUAUCAAGCAGGGCCAACAUUUUGUUAAACUCUAAACAGUGAAUUAAAAGCACUGAAUGAGCUGAAGCAACCCUCUAAUGCAAAAUGACAAAUUGCACUUAAGCGAUACAUGAACAAAAAAUGAUUUAUGGAUUUUUACAAUGGUCCGAGCAAAUGAAAGCAACAUGAAUUAUACAUCCUAAUGCUCACAAUAUCAUUUUCUAAUAAUACUGUUUUAGUUCAGAUGCUAUACUCUGCUCCUUUCUGUAACAGAAAUUAAUCAAUAAGAGGUCCAGGAAUGUUUUUAAAUUGGGCACUGGUUUGUGAUACUGAUUCCAAAGUGUGUGUGUGUAUGUAUACAUAUGCAUAUAUAUAUGUGCGUGCAUACAUUUUUAUUUUGGUUUUGGGGAGGUGGGUUGAUGACGAAUAUUGAACAUGCAUUCUUGUCAGAUUCGUCACAUAUUGUGUCUUUUGGUAGUAAAUAGUCCUUUGAAAACUUUUGUUUUUUCCAUACCAUCUUUAAGAAUGUGAAUAAAUAGAUCUCAUUCAAAAUGACAGUCUUUAUUGCCACAUGAAUUCUUUCUUUAUAAAUUAAAAUGCAUUACCUCAUCUUACUCUUUUCUUCCAUUACUUUGGAUAUUAAAACAUCUUAUUUCUCCAAAAUGUCUCUUAACCUUUUCAUAUUUGUUUUAUCCUCUCUUUUUCAGAUCAUUGUUUUAUACUUUAGCGCAUUAGAAACAUACCUGGGCUAGUGAAAAGGUCAUGGCACCUUAGUUUUGUAGCCUUAGUAGAUAAAAUAUACCCUAUGGGUUAUCUUAAAUUACAGAAAAAAAUCAGUCAAAUAAAAUUUUAUGUGCUGUUUGUGUUUUGAGUCUGAAAAAUACAAAAAUCUAGUUUCCUUUGUGUUAUGAUGAUUGACUACUCCUAGCAUUUUUAUUUAACCAUUUGUGGUUUGUAUAAGUGGAUAAUUUUUGGUAGGUAUGUAGAUUUUAAGUGAAGGUGGUGUCUGUGCUGUGUUGCAUCCUCAACCACAGGAAACUGCUAAUCACCCAGAGGCCUCUAAAGUCACAUUAUUAGGCUUAAUCUUAAUUAUCCGGGUUUAUUAAAAAAAAAAAAAAAA
rnacentral:lncRNA from 1 species